rfam:Oryza rufipogon genomic scaffold, chr04
AAUAAGUGCACUUUUACACUGAUCAUGUCUAAUGUUUGACCGUUCGUCUUAUUUGAAAAAUUUUUACGAUUAAUAUUUUUAUUGUUAUUAGAUGAUAAAACAUGAAUAGUAUUUUGUGUGUGACUAAUUUUUUUUUAAUUUUCUUAUAAAUUUUUCAAAUAAGACGGACGGUCAAACAUUGGACACGGAUUUCUACGGUUACACGGAGA